rnacentral:tRNA from 1 species
CUUGAUGGCUCAGAUGGUAAAGAAUCUGCCUCUAAUGCAGGAGACCUGGGUUCGAUUCCUGGGUCAAGA